UGUUUUGUUAAGAUUAAUCAUGGAAGAAAAUGUUGAGCUAUGCUAUGUUGAUUUUUGGUAUUUUGAGCUUUGUUUUUCUGGGAUCUAUUUUGUUACUCUAGUUGAUUCCAAUUUGAAUUGAGAUUCCUAGUUUCCCACCCAAUGGAAUUUUGCUCAGGUUUAGUACGAGGUGUUUUGAUCCCAGAUUCAAUCUGGGUAUUGUUUUUGUGAAUUGGGUUCGGUUAGAUUUGUUGUGAUUAGAGUUGGAUUGUAAAUGCUAGCUGUUUUGAGGCUUUAGCUCUUAGCAUUGCACCAAAUUUUGCAGAUGGAGGAAUUGGAGCUGAACAAGGUGGCGAGUGGAAGGUCUCAGGGGUCAGGGCACAGCCGUUCAAGUUCUGUUGGCGGCGGAGGGAUGUUUGAGUCUUUUGGGUGGGUGUAUCAUUUGGGAGUGAAUAAGAUAGGCCAUGAGUACUGUCACCUUCGUUUCUUCUUCAUUAGGGGAAAGCAUGUUGAGAUGUACAAACGUGACCCGCAUGAGAACCCUGGAAUUAGACCUAUUCGGAAGGGUGUUGUUGGGCCUACAUUGAUGGUAGAGGAGCUUGGGCGUCGAAAGGUUAACCAUGGAGGUGGGGGUGGGGAUAUUUAUGUUAUAAGGUUUUACAACCGCUCGGAUGAAACAAAGAAGGGAGAGAUUGCGUGUGCUACUGCUGGAGAAGCUCAGAAGUGGAUGGAGGCAUUUGAUCAAGCCAAACAACAGGCGGAGUUCGAGCUUUCUAGAGGAGGUAGUGCCAGAAAUAAGCUGAACCCGGAGGACGAGAUUGAUCUUGGUGGACAUCGGCCUAGAGUGAGGCAUUAUGCACGUGGAUUAAAAAAGCUUAUAAAGAUUGGGGAAGGGCCGGAGACUCUUUUGCGCCAAUCCUCAAACUUAGCUGCAGAUAUUGGCGCAGAUGGGUACUUUGAAAAGGAUGUUGGAGAUGCAGUUGAUGCAUAUGAGUGGAAAUGUGUGCGCACAGUUAAUGGCGUCAGAAUAUUUCAAGAUGUUGCUGACUCUGACAGCAGUAAAGGUAUAAUUGUUAAGGCUGUUGGAGUUAUUGAUGUGAGUGCAGAUACUGCUUUCGAAGUACUUAUGAACCUUGAGCGACGUCAGAGAUAUGAGUGGGAUAUGCUGACAGGUGAUUUGGAAAUUGUAGAUUCUUAUGAUGGACACUAUGAUGUUGUCUAUGGAACAUUCAGUCCUAUGUAUCUUUCGAGGUGGGAGUCCAAGAGAGAUUUUAUCUUUUCUAGGCAAUGGUUCCGCGGACAAGAUGGAACAUAUACAAUCUUGCAAUCCCCAGCUGUUCACAAGAAAAAGCCUAUGAGGUCUGGAUAUCGACGUACAAAACUAAAUCCAUCUACUUGGGAGAUUAGGAAUCUUAAUACAUCUAUUGAUACUGAUACUCCAAGAUGUCUUGUCACACAGAUGGCAGAGAUACCUUCUGUUAGCUGGUGGAAGUGGAAGAAAAAUCACUUCUCAAAGUUUGAAAAAAGUGUUCCUUAUGCAUUGUUGUCCCAAGUGGCAGGUCUGAAGGAAUAUAUUGCAGCAAAUCCUUCCCUCAAAUUAAAAUCUGCUGCUUCAAUCGUCCAAUCGAAGAUAUCUCCAGUUUCUGUUUCCAGUGGUGAAUCUGAGGCAGACCCAAUGGAUGAUGAAUUUUACGAUGCAAUGUCUGCAGAGUCUUCUUCUUCUGAUGAAGAAACUGACACUGAAACUGAAAAUAAAGAUCCAAAAGUGAAACUGAAGAAUGUGGCUUGGGCCAUCAGAAGCUUAACUUUGAAGCGAACUUUAACAGAUGCUAAUAAGGAACUUGAUGCUAAAGCAGCUUCUUUCAUAAUUAAUGCAAGCCAGUUCCAUGGUUCCUUACGCAAAGCAAGGGAUGAAGCCGACAAAGACUGCUGGACAUCUCCAAGUAGUGCGGGGUUCAUGAUCAGAGGAAAGACCUACCUAAAGGAUAGUUCCAAGGUGACAGGAGGAAAUCCCCUUCUCAAGCUCAUAGCAGUAGAUUGGUUCAAAGUUGAUAAAAGCACAGAUAGAAUUGCCCUGCAUCCUAAGUGUCUUAUCCAGUCAGAAGCUGGAAAAAAGCUUCCAUUUGUGCUAGUUGUUAAUCUCCAGGUUCCAGCAACACCAAACUAUAGUUUGGUACUUUACUAUGCUUCUGACAGACCUGUAAAUCCUAAUUCUUUGCUUGCUAAAUUUGUGGAUGGGAGCGACAUGUUUCGUAAUGCAAGAUUUAAACUAAUUCCAAGCAUUGUGGAGGGAUACUGGAUGGUCAAGCGUGCUGUUGGAAGGAAAGCUUGCCUACUGGGCAAAGCUGUAUCUUGCAAGUAUCUCAGGCAAGACAACUUUCUUGAGAUUGACGUGGAUAUUGGAUCAUCAUCCGUGGCAAGGAGUAUCAUUGGCCUUGUACUGGGAUAUGUCACCAGCAUAGUAGUUGACUUUGCCAUUUUGAUAGAGGCGAGAGAGGAGGCAGAGUUGCCAGAGUACAUUCUUGGAACUGUUCGGCUUAAUCGUUUGAAGAUUGAUUCAGCUGUUCAUUUGGAGGCUUGAGUUACCUGCUCUUGGAAUCGUCCAUUCCUUAGAGUAUCUGUGAGGUUGGUGGGAGGAGUAUCUGUAAAGUUGGUGAAUAUUGAGAUCUGCAACCCAACUCUUUUUCUACAAAAACAAUGCAACUCUCGAGCGGAGGGAAGUACGAAGGAGGCGCGGGGACGGCGACGCAUGCGCUGGGACGACGACGUAGGUGCUGGGACAAGAUGAGCUUUUUGGAUACAGACAUCUCCUUCGUCGGUAGAUUUGGGCUUAUGACGUCGCGCUAGAGAUCCUACCUCUGCUCCUUUUGACUUUAUAGCUGCAUCCAAGCCGGAGGCGCAUGGACAUCGUUGGAGGGGACAUGCCAAGUCGGAGGUGCGAGGACGACGUCGGGGGUGUAGGAACGGCGCUGGGACGACGUUGGAGGUUGAAGAAGGAGGGGCUGGUUUUUAGUUUGGUUGGAAACGAGGGGCUGAAGAGGAGUGGUGUUAGUUGUGGAUUUGAAAAGAAUCAAGAUCCAAAUUGAAGAAGAUGGAGGCUGCUAGUGUUGCCGGUGCAGCUCAAUAGAAAAAAUUCCCAAAUUUAGAGAAGAUGAUUAAAGAGUAAUCAUAGUAGUUUUCUAGUUUUUAUCACACUUUUGUCACACUAACUAUUACACUAUCAGUCACACUAACUUUAUGUUAUGACAUGUAGUGUAAUAGGCAAUGUGACAGAUAGCUAGGAAGCACGUAAACGUGCAUACACUCACGUUUCCCGCUUCCGAAGCGGAACCACUCCGGAAACGUCCGGAAACGCUCGGAAACGCGCCGGAAACGCCCGGAAACGUCCAGAAACGUGUUUCCAGAAAAGAUGAGUUUUGAAAACGCGGU